CUUCUGUAAUGAGAGUGUCUUUACGUCUUAAUAAAUGUAAGUCUAUAAAGACAUUUUUAAUGAUACCAUAGUACUCUAUGUGACAUGUUAUGGAUUAUGACAACAAUAAUAGCAGUCUUUUGAACAUUCCUCCCGGUCGAGCCAUCUCAUACAGGCUGCAUACAUAUGACCUGCUUAAUGGCUUAUAGACUUUAUAUCCUACAUUACAAACAUAGUGUUGGAAGCAUAGAAAAUGAAGUCACCCUUUUCAGAGUCUCAUGGCCAGCAUCCUGUAUCAUCAGGACCUGGAUUCAAGCAUUCUGCCCCAAGAUCCCACAAGCUGGAAAGCCAUGAUAUUUGAGGACUGAUAUGCUGAAGUCCAGACUGUAUUUGUAAAUAGAUCCUUAAAGAAGGAUAAAACAAAGCUGAUGCAAUCUGAAUGGUAUCCUCAUGAGAUGAGAAGAUCAGGACACAGACAGGACCAGGGGUGACGCUCAUGCACAUAGAAGGCAGCUGUCUACAAGCCAAACAGAAGGACCCCUUGGAAACCAAACCCGCUGACACCUUAGUCUUGGACUUUUGCCCUCUUAAACUUCAAAAAAAUAAAAUUCUGUUGCUUAAGA